rnacentral:misc_RNA from 1 species
GGGCCAUUGGAAGAACAAGAUAUAGGGGAAGGAACAUGGAAUUGAUGGAUAUUUCCUUUUCUAUUCUAUGCUUUGUUGAAGCGAGGCUUGGACAGCAAGAGAGAAGCAAAAGAAUCGAAAACAAGGUGUUUCAGUAGGGGCAGUAUACAGAAUAGUACAUGCCCUGGGCAUGUAUCAGAGCCAAAUCACUUACCCUUGACAUGUGAUUUUCUACCAGUUGUGUAAAGCUACAUUUUUAGAGUUAAUUUUGAAGUCC